rnacentral:rRNA from 1 species
UACGGAGGGGACUAGCGUUGUUCGGAAUUACUGGGCGUAAAGCGCACGUAGGCGGAUUUGUAAGUCAGGGGUGAAAUCCCGAGGCUCAACCCCGGAACUGCCUCCAAAACUGUCAGUCUUGAGUUCGAGAGAGGUGAGUGGAAUUCCGAGUGUAGAGGUGAAAUUCGUAGAUAUUCGGAGGAACACCAGUGGCGAAGGCGGCUCACUGGCUCGAUACUGACGCUGAGGUGCGACAGCGUGGGGAGCAAACAGG